CCCUUAGAUGUUCUGGGCCGCACGCGCGCUACACUGAUUCAUGCAACAAGUUUUGUCCUUGGCUGAUAGGCCUGGGUAAUCUUUGAACGUGAAUCGUGAUGGGGAUAGAUGAUUGCAAUUAUUCAUCUUCAACGAGGAAUUCCUAGUAAACGCAAGUCAUCAGCUUGCAUUGAUUAUGUCCCUGCCCUUUGUACACACCGCCCGUCGCACCUACCGAUUGAAUGGUCCGGUGAAAUCUUCGGAUCUGAGAGAUGUCUGAUUAAUUUCGGACGCCUUUUGGAAAAGUUGUUUAAACCUUACCAUUUAGAGGAAGGUGAAGUCGUAACA
rnacentral:rRNA from 1 species